UCAAGUUAUUAAGGGUGCAGGGCGAAUGCCUUGGCACUAGGAGCCGAUGAAGGACGUGAUAAGCUGCGAUAAGCUUGGGGGAGUUGCACGUAAACUGUGAUCCCAAGAUUUCCGAAUGAGGAAACUCACUUAGAGUAAUGUCUAAGUAUCGUAUAGUGAAUACAUAGCUAUGCGAGGGGAACCCGGGGAACUGAAACAUCUAAGUACCCGGAGGAAGAGAAAGAAAUUCGAUUCCGUAAGUAGCGGCGAGCGAACGCGGAACAGGCCAAACCAGUAAAGUUUACUUUAUUGGGGUUGCGGACAUAUCAUAACGAAGGAAUAUCGAAGGUGAAGAGAGUUGGAAAGCUCCGCUAUAAAGUGUAAUAGCCACGUAGCCGAAACGAGAAAACUUUAGAUAUGAUCCAGAGUACCACGGGACACGUGAAACCCUGUGGGAAGCAGGAGGGACCAUCCUCCAAGCCUAAAUACUACCUAGUGACCGAUAGCGUAUAGUACCGUGAGGGAAAGGUGAAAAGAACCCCGGGAGGGGAGUGAAAGAGAACCUGAAACCCUGCACUUACAAGCUGUGGGAGCACAUUACUUGUGUGACCGCGUACUUUUUGUAGAACGGGCCAACGAGUUACGUUACCUAGCAAGGUUAAGCACUUAAGGUGUGGAGCCGUAGCGAAAGCGAGUCUUAACUGGGCGAUUAGUUAGUUGACGUAGACCCGAAACCGGGCGACCUAUCCAUGGGCAGGUUGAAGCGAAAGUAAAAUUUCGUGGAGGACCGAACCCACGAGCGUUGAAAAGCUCGGGGAUGACCUGUGGAUAGCGGUGAAAUUCCAAUCGAGCCCGGAGAUAGCUGGUUCUCUCCGAAAUAGCUUUAGGGCUAGCCUCAAGAUUGAGAGUAACGGGGGUAGAGCACUGAAUGUCCUAGGGGGUAUUGCACUUACCGAAGACUAUCAAACUCCGAAUACCGUAUACUUAUGCUUGGGAGUCAGACUAUGGGUGAUAAGAUUCAUAGUCAAAAGGGCAACAGCCCAGAUCGUCAGCUAAGGUCCCUAAAUGUACGUUAAGUGGUAAAGGAUGUGGGAUUGCACAGACAACCAGGAUGUUGGCUUAGAAGCAGCCACUCAUUUAAAGAGUGCGUAAUAGCUCACUGGUCGAGUGAUCCUGCGCCGAAAAUUUCCGGGGCUAAAACGUACUACCGAAGCUACGGCAUCAUUUAUGAUGGGUAGGAGAGCUUCCCAUACGGGUUGAAGCAUGACCGAAAGGACAUGUGGACUGUAUGGGAGUGAGAAUGUUGGCAUGAGUAGCGAGAUGUGGGUGAGAAUCCCACAGGCCGUAAACCCAAGGUUUCCAGGGGAAGGUUCGUCCGCCCUGGGUUAGUCAGGACCUAAGCCGAGGCCGAAAGGCGUAGGUGAUGGACAACAGGUUGAUAUUCCUGUACCACCAAUAACCGUUUGAGAAAUGGGAUGACACAGAAGGAUAAGCUAACCGCACUGUUGGUUAUGUGCGGGCAAGUAUUGAGGCAGUUCUGGUAGGCAAAUCCGCCAGAAUAAUGCUAGGGUACGAUGCGGAGCGAAAUUUAGUAGCGAAGUAGCUGAUUUCACACUGUCGAGAAAAGUCUCUAUCGAGGUUAAAGGUGCCUGUACCGCAAACCGACACAGGUGGGUGAGGAGAGUAUCCUAAGGCCAGCCAGAGAACUGUUGUUAAGGAACUCGGCAAAAUGACCCCGUAACUUAGGGAGAAGGGGUGCCUUCGAAAGAAGGCCGCAGAGAAUAGGCCCAAGCGACUGUUUACCAAAAACAUAGGUUUCUGCUAAGUCGCAAGACGAUGUAUAGGAGCUGACGCCUGCCCGGUGCUGGAAGGUUAAGGGGAUCUGUUAGGGUAACCGAAGCAGUGAACUUAAGCCCCAGUAAACGGCGGCCGUAACUAUAACGGUCCUAAGGUAGCGAAAUUCCUUGUCGGGUAAGUUCCGACCCGCACGAAAGGCGUAACGAUUUGGGCACUGUCUCAACAACAGACUGGGUGAAAUUGUAAUACCGGUGAAGAUGCCGGUUACCUGCGACAGGACGGAAAGACCCCAUGGAGCUUUACUGUAGCUUGACAUUGAGUCUCGGUGCUACAUGUACAGGAUAGGUGGGAGGCUAUGAAGCAUGGACGUCAGUUUGUGUGGAGCCAUCCUUGGGAUACCACCCUUGUAGUACUGGGAUUCUAACCAGCUGCCUUGAAUCAGGUAGUGGGACACUGUCAGGUGGACAGUUUGACUGGGGCGGUCGCCUCCUAAAGAGUAACGGAGGCGCUCAAAGGUUCUCUCAGUACGGUCGGAAAUCGUACGUAGAGUGUAAAGGCAGAAGAGAGCUUGAUUGCAAGACAUACAGGUCGAGCAAGGACGAAAGUCGGACUUAGUGAUCCGGUGGUACCGCAUGGAAGGGCCAUCGCUCAACGGAUAAAAGCUACCCUGGGGAUAACAGGCUGAUCUCCCCCAAGAGUCCACAUCGACGGGGAGGUUUGGCACCUCGAUGUCGGCUCAUCACAUCCUGGGGCUGUAUUCGGUCCCAAGGGUUCGGCUGUUCGCCGAUUAAAGUGGUACGCGAGCUGGGUUCAGAACGUCGUGAGACAGUUCGGUCCCUAUCCGUCGCAGGCGUAGGAAAUUUGAGGAGACCUGUCCUUAGUACGAGAGGACCGGGAUGGACGUACCGCUGGUGUACCAGUUGUUCUGCCAAGGGCAUAGCUGGGUAGCUAAGUACGGAAAGGAUAAGCGCUGAAAGCAUCUAAGCGCGAAGCCUACUUCGAGAUAAGAUUUCCCACCGCAAGGUUAAGACCCCAUGAAGACUACAUGGUUGAUAGGUCAGAGGUGGAAGUGUGGUAACAUAUGUAGCUUACUGAUACUAAUAGGUCGAGGACUUGACCAA
rnacentral:rRNA from 1 species